rnacentral:rRNA from 1 species
AACGAACGCUGGCGGCAGGCCUAACACAUGCAAGUCGAACGAACCGUUUACGGUGAGUGGCGCACGGGUGAGUAACACGUGGGAAUAUACAUUUCGGUAAGGAAUAACGUAGAGAAAUUUACGCUAAUACCUUAUAAUGACUACGGUCCAAAGAUUUAUCGCCGAAGGAUUAGCCCGCGUUAGAUUAGGUAGUUGGUAGGGUAAUGGCCUACCAAGCCUACGAUCUAUAGCUGGUCUUAGAGGAUGAUCAGCCACACUGGAACUGAGACACGGUGCAGACGCGUACGGGAGGCAGCAGUGAGGAAUAUUGCGCAAUGGGGGAAACCCUGACGCAGCCAUGCCGCGUGAGUGACGAAGGCCUUAGGGUUGUAAAGCUCUUUCAGAUGUAAAGAUAAUGACGGUAACAUCAGAAGAAGCUCCGGCUAAAUUCGUGCCAGCAGCCGCCGUAA